UGAGAGGAAUCUUAUGGCGUAACGGUGUCGAACCGUGUCAGGUCCGGGAGGAAGCAGCACUAAGGCAUUCAUUACGGGUAUACGAUCUUACCUCUUUGGU
rnacentral:SRP_RNA from 1 species